rnacentral:rRNA from 1 species
UAGAGUAAUGCGUGACCAACCUGCCCCAUGCUCCAGAAUAGCUCUUGGAAACGGGUGGUAAUGCUGGAUGCUCCAACUUGACGCAUGUCUUGUUGGGAAAGUGUUUAGUGGCAUGGGAUGGGGUCGCGUCCUAUCAGCUUGUAGGCGGGGUAAUGGCCCACCUAGGCUUCGACGGGCAGCCGGCCUGAGAGGGCGGACGGCCACAUUGGGACUGAGAUACGGCCCAGACUCCUACGGGAGGCAGCAGCC